UCGGAUCGCAGCCUGCAACCCGGCUGCGUGAAGCUGGAAUCGCUAGUAAUCGCGGAUCAGAAUGCCGCGGUGAAUACGUUCCCGGGUCUUGUACACACCGCCCGUCACACCAUGGGAGCCGGAAACGCCCGAAGCCAGUGGCCUGACCGUAAGGAGGGAGCUGUCGAAGGCGGGUCCGGUGACCGGGGUGAAGUCGUAACAAGGUAUC
rnacentral:rRNA from 1 species